rnacentral:rRNA from 1 species
CCGGAUUUACUGGGUGUAAAGGGCGCGUAGACGGAAUGACAAGUCAGAUGUGAAAUCCCGGGGCUCAACCCCGGAACUGCAUUUGAAACUGUUGGCCUUGAGUGUCGGAGAGGCAGGCGGAAUUCCUAGUGUAGCGGUGAAAUGCGUAGAUAUUAGGAGGAACACCAGUGGCGAAGGCGGCCUGCUGGACGACAACUGACGGUGAGGCGCGAAAGCGUGGGGAGCAAACAGGAUUAGAUACCCUGGUAGUC